CAAAUACUCCCUCCGUCCGGAAAUACUUGUCAUCAAAAUGGAUAAAAGGAAAUGUAUCUAGACGUAUUUUAGUUUUAGAUACAUCUAUUUUUAUCCAUUUUGAUGACAAGUAUUUUCGAACAGAGGGAGUAGAAA
rnacentral:pre_miRNA from 1 species